UACGUAGGGUGCAAGCGUUGUCCGGAAUUAUUGGGCGUAAAGAGCUCGUAGGCGGCCUGUUGCGUCCGCUGUGAAAGCCCCGGGGCUUAACCCCGGGUCGCAGUGGAUACGGGCAGGCUAGAGGUAGGUAGGGGAGAAUGGAAUUCCCGGUGUGAGCGGUGAAAUGCGCAGAUAUCGGGAGGAACACCGGUGGCGAAGGCGGUUCUCUGGGCCUUACCUGCGCUGAGGAGCGAAAGCGUGGGGAGCGAACAGG
rnacentral:rRNA from 1 species